AGUGAACGCUGGCGGUAGGCCUAACACAUGCAAGUCGAACGGCAGCACAGUAAGAGCUUGCUCUUACGGGUGGCGAGUGGCGGACGGGUGAGGAAUACAUCGGAAUCUACUUUUUCGUUGGGGAUAACGUAGGGAAACUUACGCUAAUACCGCAUACGACCUACGGGUGAAAGCAGGGGAUCUUCGGACCUUGCGCGAUUGAAUGAGCCGAUGUCGGAUUAGCUAGUUGGCGGGGUAAAGGCCCACCAAGGCGACGAUCCGUAGCUGGUCUGAGAGGAUGAUCAGCCACACUGGAACUGAGACACGGUCUAGACUCCUACGGGAGGCAGCAGUGGGGAAUAUUGGACAAUGGGCGCAAGCCUGAUCCAGCCAUACCGCGUGGGUGAAGAAGGCCUUCGGGUUGUAAAGCCCUUUUGUUGGGAAAGAAAAGCAGCAGGUUAAUACCCCGCUGUUCUGACGGUACCCAAAGAAUAAGCACCGGCUAACUUCGUG
rnacentral:rRNA from 1 species